rnacentral:lncRNA from 1 species
UGAAAAAUAUUAGAGAGAGUGUUGGGGUAGCGUCUAUAAUGGAGAAGAUAGUGGAAAAUAGACUUAGGUGGUUUGGACAUGUAGAGGGAAGAUCGAUAAAUUAUGUAGUAAGGAGGGUAUACCAGAUGGAGAGAACGCAAACAAUUAGAGGAAAUGGAAGACAUAUAAAGACUAUCUGAGAAGUUAUUAGAAAAGAUCUCGAGAUUAAUCAUUUGGAUAGAAGCAUGGUCCUUGAUAGAACAUUAUGACGAAAAUUGAUCCAUGUAGCCGACCCCACUUAGUGGGGUAAGGCUUUGUUAUUG